rnacentral:rRNA from 1 species
UACGGGGGGAGCAAGCGUUGUUCGGAUUUACUGGGCGUAAAGGGCGCGUAGGCGGCCACCGCAAGUCGACUGUGAAAUCUCCGGGCUUAACCCGGAAAGGUCAGCCGAUACUGCGGGGCUAGAGUGCAGAAGGGGCAACUGGAAUUCUCGGUGUAGCGGUGAAAUGCGCAGAUAUCAGGAGGAACACCAAUGGCGAAGGCAGCUCGCUGGAACGGUACUGACGCUGAGGCGCGAAAGCGUGGGGAGCGAACAGG